rnacentral:rRNA from 1 species
GACGAACGCUGGCGGCGUGCCUAAUACAUGCAAGUAGGACGCACAGUUUAUACCGUAGCUUGCUACACCAUAGACUGUGAGUUGCGAACGGGUGAGUAACGCGUAGGUAACCUGCCUAUUAGAGGGGGAUAACUAUUGGAAACGAUAGCUAAUACCGCAUAACAGUAUGUAACACAUGUUAGAUGCUUGAAAGAUGCAAUUGCAUCGCUAGUAGAUGGACCUGCGUUGUAUUAGCUAGUAGGUAGGGUAAAGGUCUACCUAGGCAACGAUACAUAGCCGACCUGAGAGGGUGAUCGGCCACACUGGGACUGAGACACGGCCCAGACUCCUACGGGAGGCAGCAGUAGGGAAUCUUCGGCAAUAGGGGGAACCCUGACCGAGCAACGCCGCGUGAGUGAAGAAGGUUUUCGGAUCGUAAAGCUCUGUUGUUAAGGAAGAACGAGUGUGAGAAUGGAAAGUUCAUGCUGUGACGGUACUUAACCAGAAAGGGACGGCUAACUACGUGCCAGCAGCCGCGGUAAUACGUAGGUCCCGAGCGUUGUCCGGAUUUAUUGGGCGUAAAGCGAGCGCAGGCGGUUAGAAAAGUCUGAAGUGAAAGGCAGUGGCUCAACCAUUGUAGGCUUUGGAAACUGUUUAACUUGAGUGCAGAAGGGGAGAGUGGAAUUCCAUGUGUAGCGGUGAAAUGCGUAGAUAUAUGGAGGAACACCGGUGGCGAAAGCGGCUCUCUGGUCUGUAACUGACGCUGAGGCUCGAAAGCGUGGGGAGCGAACAGG